AUGAACGCUGGCGGCGUGCCUAAUACAUGCAAGUCGAGCGAACAGACGAGGAGCUUGCUCCUCUGACGUUAGCGGCGGACGGGUGAGUAACACGUGGAUAACCUACCUAUAAGACUGGGAUAACUUCGGGAAACCGGAGCUAAUACCGGAUAAUAUAUUGAACCGCAUGGUUCAAUAGUGAAAGACGGUUUUGCUGUCACUUAUAGAUGGAUCCGCGCCGCAUUAGCUAGUUGGUAAGGUAACGGCUUACCAAGGCAACGAUGCGUAGCCGACCUGAGAGGGUGAUCGGCCAAAAUUGAACUGGGGCACCGUGCAGACUCCUAAGGGAGGCAGCAGUAGGGAAUCUUCCGCAAUGGGCGAAAGCCUGACGGAGCAACGCCGCGUGAGUGAUGAAGGUCUUCGGAUCGUAAAACUCUGUUAUUAGGGAAGAACAAAUGUGUAAGUAACUAUGCACGUCUUGACGGUACCUAAUCAGAAAGCCACGGCUAACUACGUG
rnacentral:rRNA from 1 species